rnacentral:rRNA from 1 species
AGUGAACGCUGGCGGUAGGCCUAACACAUGCAAGUCGAACGGCAGCACAGUAAGAGCUUGCUCUUACGGGUGGCGAGUGGCGGACGGGUGAGGAAUACAUCGGAAUCUACUUUUUCGUGGGGGGUAACGUAGGGAAACUUACGCUAAUACCGCAUACGACCUACGGGUGAAAGCAGGGGAUCUUCGGACCUUGCGCGUUUGAAUGAGCCGAUGUCGGAUUAGCUAGUUGGCGGGGUAAAGGCCCACCAAGGCGACGAUCCGUAGCUGGUCUGAGAGGAUGAUCAGCCACACUGGAACUGAGACACGGUCCAGACUCCUACGGGAGGCAGCAGUGGGGAAUAUUGGACAAUGGGCGCAAGCCUGAUCCAGCCAUACCGCGUGAGUGAAGAAGGCCUUCGGGUUGUAAAGCCCUUUUGUUGGGAAAGAAAAGCAGCAGGUUAAUACCCCGCUGUUCUGACGGUACCCAAAGAAUAAGCACCGGCUAACUUCGUG